CCGUGCUAGGUGGGGAAUUAGCGGUGCCUUGUUACCUGCAAUCCGCUAUAGCAGGAUCGAUGCUCGAGUGAGGUUGUUUCUACUCAAUUUGGUAUUAAAGAGAUAGUGUUGAUACUCUGGCCUGUUGCAAUGUGCUGAUUGUUGAACCUCGUCAGGUCUGGAAAGAAGCAGCGAUAAGGCUCUUGGUGCAUGUGCUUGCAGUCACUAGUGUGGAGCUAGGAACUUU
rnacentral:SRP_RNA from 1 species